AUUGAACGCUGGCGGCAGGCCUAACACAUGCAAGUCGAGCGGAUGAAGGGAGCUUGCUCCUGGAUUCAGCGGCGGACGGGUGAGUAAUGCCUAGGAAUCUGCCUGGUAGUAGGGGAUAACGUCCGGAAACGGGCGCUAAUACCGCAUACGUCCUGAGGGAGAAAGUGGGGGAUCUUCGGACCUCACGCUAUCAGAUGAGCCUAGGUCGGAUUAGCUAGUUGGUGGGGUAAAGGCCUACCAAGGCGACGAUCCGUAACUGGUCUGAGAGGAUGAUCAGUCACACUGGAACUGAGACACGGUCCAGACUCCUACGGGAGGCAGCAGUGGGGAAUAUUGGACAAUGGGCGAAAGCCUGAUCCAGCCAUGCCGCGUGUGUGAAGAAGGUCUUCGGAUUGUAAAGCACUUUAAGUUGGGAGGAAGGGCAGUAAGUUAAUACCUUGCUGUUUUGACGUUACCAACAGAAUAAGCACCGGCUAGCUUCGUG
rnacentral:rRNA from 1 species